rnacentral:rRNA from 1 species
UACGUAGGGUGCGAGCGUUAAUCGGAAUUACUGGGCGUAAAGCGUGCGCAGGCGGCUUUGUAAGCCAGAUGUGAAAUCCCCGGGCUCAACCUGGGAAUGGCAUUUGGGACUGCAAGGCUUGAGUGCGGCAGAGGAGACUGGAAUUCCUGGUGUAGCAGUGAAAUGCGUAGAUAUCAGGAGGAAUACCGAUGGCGAAGGCAGGUCUCUGGGCUGACACUGACGCUCAUGCACGAAAGCGUGGGGAGCAAACAGG